UGACAGAAUCUGCUUACAAG
rnacentral:piRNA from 2 species